rnacentral:lncRNA from 1 species
UGGUAACGCUCAUUUGAAUUGGUUGUGAUAUGGUAGACUCGUUGGUAGUUUUCGCUUUCGGGUGGUAUUAGAGGAAGAAUAAUCGCGAUUGGGGUGGAUACCGAACUUGGUUUGUGUAAGACGAUGAGUAGGUGCGACGGUUUGUACAAGAUGGUGAUAUCACCGAUGAUGGUCUUAAUCAUGAGUGUUGUAGUGGCAUUGUUCUUGACUUGAAGAAAACAGACAACGACAAUAAGCAUGGGUGACUCUUGCAUGGGUAAAGGACGCAGAAGAAGAAACCUUAAAGAGAAUCCUUUGAGGCCCUAUGUUUAUGUGUUUGUAAAUAAAAGGC